CUACGGGGCGCUGCAGUAGGGAAUCUUGCGCAAUGGGGGAAACCCUGACGCAGCGACGCCGCGUGAGUGAUGAAGGCCCUUGGGUUGUAAAGCUCUGUUCUAGGGGAAUAAAAAAAUGAAGGUACCCUAGAAGAAAGGACCGGCUAACUUCGUGCCAGCAGCCGCGGUAAGACGAGGGGUCCAAGCGUUGUUCGGGAUCAUUGGGCGUAAAGCGGGUGUAGGCGGCUUUGUAAGUCAGAAGUGAAAGCCCUGGGCUUAACCCGGGAAUUGCUUUUGAUACUGCAAAACUUGAGUGUGGGAGAGGAUAGUGCAAUUCCUGGUGUAGUGGUGAAAUACGUAGAUAUCAGGAGGAACAUCGGUGGUGAAGACGGCUAUCUGGCCCAACACUGACGCUCAGACCCGAAAGCGUGGGGAGCAAACAGGAUUAGAUACCCGUGUAGUC
rnacentral:rRNA from 1 species